GAGGGUAUAGCUCAGUGGUAAAGUGCCUGUCUAGCAUGCACAAGGUCCUGGGUUCAAUCCCCAGUACCUCCA
rnacentral:tRNA from 1 species